rnacentral:rRNA from 1 species
GGAUUAGAUACCCUGGUAGUCCACGCCGUAAACGUUGUGCACUAGAUUCUGAGAGUUUCAACGCUUUCGGGAUCGUAGGGAAACCGUUAAGUGCGCCGCCUGGGGAGUACGGUCGCAAGGCUAAAACUCAAAGGAAUUGACGGGGGCUCACACAAGCGGUGGAGCAUGUGGCUUAAUUCGAGGCAACGCGAAGAACCUUAUCCUGGAUUUGACAUGUAUGGAUUAGCGCUUGGAAACUUGCGUAACGCGGCUUGCCGUGGAACAUACACAGGUGCUGCAUGGCUGUCGUCAGCUCGUGCCG